ACUGAAGGCAAAGACAAAUGGGAAAACAGUGGUUGAAAUUCUGUUCUGCCUCCAUCCUUGGGGGCUUCACUAACAUUUCCCACGUCAGUAAAAUGUGAACAAAGCUUAAAGAAAGGGACUUUAGGCAACAUUGUGCUUAGUCCCUGCUUGGUUGCUCAGGAAGAAAAUGGGAUACUGGAUCCUCCCUCCCUUGCCCUUCUCCCCCCAACCAUGCAGUGCAGUGGGGUGCACCCAAGAUGUCCCUCCCCAGUUGUUCCUCAGCCUCAGGUUGCAAAAAACAUAGGACCACAGGAAUUGCCAUGCUAUAUCAGCCCUGAGGUCCAUAUAGUCCAGUAUGCUGUUAUAGACAAUGGCCAGAAUUGGAUGCUUCCGAGGCAGCUGCAAUAAACCCUGCAGUAGACGGGGGGGGGGGUUAUCUGUCCCAUUUCCCCUCCCCACAUACGCCCCGAAGGUCUCACCCUAACUCUUAAUAGUUAAAGAGCUGUUUAAGCCCCAAAACAUGAGGUUUUAUCUCCCUUCCAAUACUCAAUUAUUACAACUCUGGAUAUUCGUGUGAUCCAUACAACUGUCUAAUCCUGCCCCCCCCGCUUCCCCUUUUUGUAGAUUCAGAAGCUUGGACAACUACUGGCAUUUUCUUGGUCCAGCAACUGUAUGACAGAGAAAGGGAUGAUGCUGUUGAGGCAGUUGACCAGCCUUCCAUACGGAAAAGAGCCUGAUCCUGCAAUGUGUACUCAAGCAAGACUCCCAGAUCACAACAUCUGGCCCUUAGAGAUGACUGGCUCUACAUGCUAUGAUGGCAUUGAUUUUUAAGCAUAUUAAAACAAUUGAUGACACAAUAUGACUCUAUACACCUAGGAGUCUAAACAAUUAUCUACAAUGAGGAGGUACUACCUGUGUAUGAUGACUUAAAUUUGAUAUAAGUAAACUCAACAUUGUUUUGCCACACAAAUGGAAGGUACCAAAGGAAGAUGAUUUACUACUUUAAGCACCAACUAUGACAUGUCAAAAUUCCCUGAAGCCACAGGUUACCAACAGGAUGACUCACCCCUUCAUAUGUCUGAGAAGGGGUGAAGAGUCUGCAGAGGAUCCAGCCUAGGAAGGAGUGAAGAGGUGUGGUGGUGCUGAAUCACCCGAGAAGGCUUAAUGAGCUGACGCCACUGCAGAAGCAAAGCCUUCAGGAAUGCAUUAAUGCUGCUGCUGCUGGAUAAGUAGGGAGUGGAAAAUAAAUAUAUAGGAUUGGAAGCUGCAGGCUGGCAGGAGCUAGCGAACAUAGUUAAAUAGCAGGAAAACAACACAUUACACGCCAUAAAUGACACCCUCAAUUACUCGUUAGUGCAGUACAGAGUAGUAUGUUGAUUCUGAGGAUGAUUUGAAACCGAUAAUAUUACCAAGUCGCUUAUGAGCUUGGCAUCUUUUACUGGAUAUGUGGCAGUAUUUUUCCAUGCAUUCAUGUGGGGAAAAAUAGGCCAGUGACACAAGAGUACUCUGUUUCCAAAGGGAAUCUGUGGCCUGCUGUUGCUUGUUACCAAGGUGUUAGCCUCUUUCUGUUUUUUCUUAGCUUAGUAUUGAUUAAAGAUUUCAGCUAUUAGUGCUGUCAGUCGGACGUCUUCUGCUGAUUAUAAUAAAUACUGUGUGGACAACAGCAACACAAGCAAAAUAUAAAGGGGAUCAAGAUAACAAGAAACACAGGCAGGAUAGUAAAGUGGAAAGUCCACGCUAAUCCAUAAGGAGAGAAAAUAACCUGCCAUUAUACCUGAAACCCAGAUAUUCAAAGAGAAGGAGACAGUUGGGGAGCAGUAAUACUGAGAGGUUUGGGGUGAUAGUAGACAGUAGGUGAGAAAUUAAUUUGCCAUGGAAUAAAUAUUUACAGGGAUAUUUUCUCUGUUCGGGGUUUUAAAUUGUUCUAUAACAAAGUACAAUUUCACUCUGGACAAUGACUAUGUAAAAACAGGCCCUUCCACUCUGCUGUUCUACUCAAAAUCAUCCUUGUUGCCUCCUAGACAAGAGCAAGUUUUAGUUAUGCAAGGAUGACAGAAGCAGACACACAGCUUUGGGGAGAGAACUGGAUUCUCUUUUGGCUGGAUCCUUAUCAAGAUUAACUUAAAUAUUGUCUACAUGGGGGAAAUUGACUAGCAUAGCUAUUCCAGAAUAACUAUUCUGGUAUAAUGUAAGUAUUCUGGAAAAACUCUCCUGCAUGCACACUCUAUUCUGGAAUUAAAAUGAUUUUUUCUGGAAUAAUUACUCGGCUUCUGAAGUCACUUUUAUUUCGGAGAAGUGUGUCCACAGAGGAGAGUUAUUCUGCAAUAGCUACGCUAAUCAAUUUCCCCACAUAGAGAAGAUGUAACGUCCAAUUGCAAGACCAUCUUUGCAACCCUAUUGUCUUCAAAUUAUUCCCUCAUUUACACCAGUGUCAUUUCUCUGAGGGCAAUAAGGUUGCAUAGACAAUGACCAUGGGUUUAAUUGGUAGUAGCACCUAGAUAUUAUGGAAAUGGGCAGCCUAAGACUAUGAGAUUUGGUCUACACACAAUUAUUUUAAUAAUAUAACUGUUGAAGUUAGAGGUGUGAUUUUUUUCUAUUGAAAUAGCUAAAAUGGUCCAGCCUCUAAGCCAGAUGUAGUUGUACUGGUAUAAAGGUGCCUUAUAGUUGACUCCUCUUCCCAAACAUGAAUAGCUAUAUAGGUAAAGACACCUCUUUUUCUAUAUAGUUGUCUACAGUAGUGAGAUUGUACUGCCUAAACUAUACCAGUAUAACCAAAGCAGUACAAUUCUUGUUUGUAAGUAAGGUCUGAUCAUUAGAUUUUUGGGACAAUGGGAUUACACAAAUGUAACUGAAGGCAGCUUUUGGCCUGUAGAACCUUGAUAGUGCACAAAUAAAAAGUAAUACCUAGCUCUUAUAUAGUGUGUUUUUUCUUCAGUAGCUGUCAGUGCAUUUUACAAAGGCAGUCAGUAUUACUAUUCCCAUUUUACAGAGGGGGAAACUGAUGCACAGGGAAGAGAAGUGUCUUGCCUCAAGUACCCAGCAGGCCAGUAGCAGAGCCAAGAAUAGAACCCGAAUCACCCGAAUCUUAGUCUAGUGCUCAAGCCACUAAAAUAAUGUAGCUUAACUAUCAGAUCUCAAGCUAGCCCCAUGGUAGCGGGGUUAGAAAAAAAACCACCUUUGUCUUACCUGUAAAUUCAGCAAAUGUGAUCUGGAAAUCAUUGAGACAAAAUACAAGGAGCUACAUAGAAUCAUUUUUAUGAAGUCACUUCCACGGGACAACCACAAUUUAACUUAAAAAACAAACAAACAAACAAACCUGCCUAUUUUACACAUGUUCUGCUGUCCGCCAGAGUCCACAAACAGCCUGAAACAGUAACUUAAAGAAAGGUGUGAAUUGUUCCCAUUCAUCCCAAAGAGGGGAUGAUUCUGAAGUCUAACAAUGACUACAGAUGUUAACUUUUUUACUGCUGAUCACUUUAGCAGAAAUAUCCGACUAAUGUGAUUUCCCAGUGUGGUUGGAUGCCUGGUAGAUAUGGGGCAGAGCAGAGGGGGAGAGCAGGGGCAACCUGAACUAUUUAACAGUGGUGCACAACUAUAAAUGGUAGAACUCCAGUGCUUAAUUUAUUAUGAAAGAGGUGCUGGGGCUCAAGCAAUGAUUUUUGUAUUCAAGAUGUUAAGUCUAUUUAUAGUUUUUCACCGUGUUUCUACAAUAAAACACUUUACCUUUGCUGAAGAUGUUAAAGUUCUAUUUACAUUUUCCAGAUGCCUAGUCUUUCACCAUUCAACAUCAGGUAGGCACAGAAGAUAAGGAAUUCUCAGAGACAUCAAGAACAUUUGUUACCUUUAAAGCAACAGCCUUCAGCAAUCAAUGAAUAGAUUAUGCUAAUCCAUUGAUGUGGUUUCUUUUUAAAAUUUGUGACAGAUGUGUCAAUAAUAUUUUUUUCAGAAUAUGCUGUGUGAUACAAUAUGUUGCAACCCUACUACAAAUUAUAUCAGUAUAUGUUGAUGUAUAUGUAGAAGUAUUGUGUAUUUAGCUAUCACAGUUAGGAUAUAAAUGUGACAGACUUUACCCUUAUGUUCACCACUUUUAGAAAACUAUGAUGAAUUUUUUUCAAAGUAUGCCUUGUGAGGUAUCAUUUGAAAACUCAUAAUUCACUGACCUUUAUUGUCCUGGUAAAAUGUGUGGCA